rnacentral:rRNA from 1 species
AGGACGAACGCUGGCGGCGUGCUUAACACAUGCAAGUCGAGCGGUAAGGCCUCUCGGGCUACACGAGCGGCGAACGGGUGAGUAACACGUGGGUGAUCUGCCCUGCACUCUGGGAUAAGCCUGGGAAACUGGGUCUAAUACCGGAUAUGACCUGCUCUCGCAGUGGGGGGUGGUGGAAAGAUUUAGCGGUGCAGGGAUGGGCCCGCGGCCUAUCAGUCUUGGUUGGUGGGGUAAUGGGACCUACCGAAGGCGACGACGGGUAGCCGACCUGAGAGGGUGACCGGCCACACGUGGGACUGAGAC